AUUCCAUGAAGAAGGCACUUUCGUGGUAACUCUUUACAUCUUUCCCAUGCCUCAUACAAGGACUCAUCAUCCAUUUGUUGGAAAGCAGUGAUCUCGUUCUUCAACUU
rfam:Gossypium arboreum cultivar AKA8401 contig_18496_3, whole genome shotgun sequence.